AAAUAUUAUUGUUAUUUGGAAAUGCAUUCUGGGAUGCAGAGAAAGAAGAAUGCUGGAGGAAAUGAUUAUGAUAUUAACAAAAUCAAAAUGCAUCAACAAGACAUUUAAAUUCACUGUUUUAAUGACAAAAGAUAUUGGAGGAUAUAACUGGCCGUCCUUUUACAUCAAUAAUUCAGGACCUUAAAGAUAAUGAACAAAAAGACUUGUGCAUGGCCAAACUGACUGAACAAAAUUAUACAAUAUUGCUUUGAAAAAAAAGGGGAACUUUGGGCAAUUUCAGUUGAUGUUAAGUUUGAACUGUUCAAACACAUUCCCAUUAACAAUGGCAUUUACAAAUUAAGAACAUAAUUCUUAACAUUAACUCUAAAGAUAAAGACCCACAAUCAUUCUUGGAAAUACAAUAAAAUCAUGUUACAAAAGACUCUAAAAUCAUGGAAAUGGGAAAUGGAAUGUUGUAUAUGAGAAACAAAAUGAUUCAUAACAAUAUAGAAUGUGAGGAGAAUUAUGGCCAAUAAAUCUGGAAAAAUAAGUUAGAGGCCGAUUAUGAAGGGCUUUAAAAGACAAAUAGGAAUCUCUUUCUUUGUGGUCCUCUUCUGAAAACAAAGAAUCAAGAACAACAACAAAAAUGACAGUCUCCAAAAAUAAUUCACGUUCUCCCCACUUCCUAGAACACCAACUUCCUUCAAAACUCAACUCAAGUACCACUAACUACAAACAAGAUUGUGCUACACAGAGACCAAGUUUAAUACACAGGAGAUUCUUAGCCAAAGGAAGCUGAAUGUGGACUACAGAAACCAGAGCAUACCAGAAUCCACACUAGUCUUCAAAUAGUGAAGUAUUCAACAAAAUAGUUAACAAGAACCAGAUUGUUGACAAGUAGGAGAUGACAGGAGGAGCCCUGAGCUGUCCUCAUUGAGUUCAAGCUAUUUCUUGUUGGUGAAUAAAUUUCUUCUCUGGGCCCA
rnacentral:lncRNA from 1 species